GAUGAAGAACGUAGCGAAAUGCGAUACGUAAUGUGAAUUGCAAAUUCAGUGAAUCAUCGAGUCUUUGAACGCACAUUGCGCCCCCUGGUAUUCCGGGGGGCAUGCCUGUCCGAGCGUCAUUGCUGCCCUCAAGCACGGCUUGUGUGUUGGGCCCCGUCCUCCGAUCCCGGGGGACGGGCCCGAAAGGCAGCGGCGGCACCGUGUCCGGUCCUCGAGCGUAUGGGGCUUUGUCACCCGCUCUGUAGGCCCGGCCGGCGCUUGCCGAUCAACCCAAAUUUUUAUCCAGGUUGACCUCGGAUCAGGUAGGGAUACCCGCUGAACUUAAGCAUAUCAAUAAGCGGAGGA
rnacentral:misc_RNA from 1 species